CCCAAUGUAGUUUUUCUGAGCUGGUCUGAGCCAAGUCUGAGCCCAUGCCGCAAUAUUGUCAAUGUCAUCAAAAUUUUUGACAUACAAAACCAUAAUCUAGUAACUGAACAAAACCAUACAAAUUAUUUUAUGUAUUUAAAGAAGAUGAGUUAAAAGCUGUUAAAAAAUAAAUAAAUUAGGUACCUACUUAAGUAUAAGAAAAUGGGAAACAUACUAUGGUCGAUAAUUUGGUUACUUAUUCUAGAUGGUGGAUAGCACUUAUAGCGGUGUCUUUCUAUGUAAUUUAACUCCUAUUUCAGACCUUUAUUCCUUUGUCAAUGGUCUGAGCCCAUGCCGCAAUAUUGUCAAUGUCAUCAAAAUUUUUGACAUACAAAACCAUAAUCUAGUAACUGAACAAAACCAUACCAAAAUAUUUUAUGUAUUUAAAGAAGAUUAGUUAAAAGCUGUUAAAAAAUAAAUAAAUUAGGUACCUACUUAAGUAUAAGAAAAUGGGAAACAUACUAUGGUCGAUAAUUUGGUUACUUAUUCUAAUAUUUGCUGGAUGGUGGAUAGCACUUAUAGUGGUGCCUUUCUAUGUAAUUUUACUCCCAUUUGCAAUAUGCUUCUCAGCUCUUUCGCCAUUCACAGAUAUGUUGCUGGUAAUAGCUCAGUUUCCCGGUCUUUGCGCUCAAAAAAUCAAGGCUGGAGAAGGAUUUUAGAAAUAUUUUUGUGCAAUACUUUGAUUAUGGUCGAAGAUGCAAUAGUGUAUUUUAUAAAAUGAUAUGUGAAAGUUUAACUAAUGUAUAUUAUAGGUAUAAUUUGUUAAGUUCUAUCCUAAUGUUUGUUUUCUAUUAAAAUUUGUUAGUUAGUGGUGAUAAGCAA